rnacentral:rRNA from 1 species
CGAAGGGGGCUAGCGUUGUUCGGAAUUACUGGGCGUAAAGGGCGCGUAGGCGGUACUUCAAGUCAGGCGUGAAAGCCCCGGGCUCAACCUGGGAACCGCGCUUGAGACUGGAGAACUAGAGUUCGGGAGAGGAUGGUGGAAUUCCCAGUGUAGAGGUGAAAUUCGUAGAUAUUGGGAAGAACACCGAUGGCGAAGGCAGCCAUCUGGACCGACACUGACGCUGAGGCGCGAAAGCGUGGGGAGCAAACAGGAUUAGAUACCCUGGUAGUCCACGCCGUAAACGAUGAGUGCUAGACGUUGGGGCCCUUAGGGCUUCGGUGUCGCAGCUAACGCAUUAAGCACUCCGCCUGGGGAGUACGGCCGCAAGGUUA